rnacentral:rRNA from 1 species
UACAGGGGGGGCAAGCGUUGUUCGGAAUUACUGGGCGUAAAGGGUUCGUAGGUGGCCAACUAAGUCAUACGUGAAAUCCCUCAGCUUAACUGGGGAACUGCGUCUGAUACUGGAUGGCUUGAGUGUAGGAGAGGAAUGCGGAAUUCCAGGUGUAGCGGUGAAAUGCGUAGAUAUCUGGAGGAACACCGGUGGCGAAGGCGGCAUUCUGGACUACAACUGACACUGAGGAACGAAAGCCAGGGGAGCAAACGGG